ensembl:lncRNA
CUCCAUCGUUGGUUGGGUACAUUCUUGGAAUCAGCAAUGGUCUGUGCCAGUUUGUGCCAAGCGUAUAAAAUACCACUGUGUAAGUGGAGUGAAUCACUGGAAUUUUCUACCUAAGGGACAUACUGUUAAGUAACAAGAACAGGAAGCUCCAGGACCCCUUACCCUGGCUGAGGUGAGCUUCGAUAACAGAAGUCUGCCACUCGACGCGCAACGUUGUACAACUUUGCUGCUUCAGCCUCUGCCUGGGAUUGUUUUGUUAAUACGAGUCAUCCUUGUGGUUCCCUUGUCAACUUGGGCAUUACGGAGAGCCCGAUAGGAUCAAGGUUGUGUUUUACAUAUCUUGGACGGAUAAUGCGCAUCCUGAUUUGUACCUUUGGAAGACAGGUUUUGAGGACAACAGAAAACAGUGGCAAACCUCCCCUCUCUGAACAGAUUGCUGUGCUGGUGUGUGUGGAUGCCCCAAGGCUGAAGUUCCUUUCAAAUUUAUUUUUAAACUGCUUGGAUCCCCAACCUCCCACCAUCUCCCAUACGGCAAAUUCUUAAUGGUGCUGUUUCAAAAGAAAUCUGUGGUUGCAAUGUGAUGAUGAAAGGAAAAGAAUAUAAAGAGAAGAGAAAUAAAAUUUAUCUUAAAAGAUCUUUAUUUGCUCAGAAACUGUAUUUAGACAUAAAUAUAUGUAAUAUAUCAAUCUAUUUCUCUUCGGUCAAAAUUAAUCAUUCUUCCCUGUUCUUUCUUAUCCUUUGUUAGACCUAUAUUAUGCUGAUGUUCUGGUUGGAUUUGAAAUAUUGUUGGACGUGUCUUUCUAGCUCACUUAAUAGCGAUUCCUUGGAAAGUGGGGGCCAGGCUUUGUGUCUCCCCCCCACAGGAUGCUUACCAGUGUAUGUAAUAGAUGCUCAAUUAUUAUAUAUUGACUUGGAUCCAGCAUUUCAGACCUUUGGAGGAGACCAGCUGCUAGGGUAAAGCUGUUGGGGACUGCUAAAAAUCUAGUUUAUGAAUUGACUGGAUGAAACGCUACAUGGUAAACCAAUGAACACAUCUCACAUGCUGAAGUAUUUUUAAGAAGGCUGUCUGGGAAAUCAUGCCACUAUCUUCAGGAGGGGUCAAGAGUGACUUGAAGUGUGGGCAUCUCUUUAAAUCUGCACUCCUUGGCUGGGCACUGGGGACGUGUGCUGUAAGCUAUAAAGAAACAAAGCCCCCCGGGAAAUCGUGCUGGUCAUCCCUUCGAGUGGAGCCCAGAGGCGGGAAAACAUCUGAGCCAAACUUUCUCUUGACUCUGCUCAGAACUCACUGUGGGGUUCUGGGCAUUUCAUUUCCUCACAUGGGCAAUGUUGUGGGCCAUCUUGAUUCCUGGCCCUCCACCCCAAAGAGUAGCCCCCUGCGGUCGCUAAGUAAACUGCGGAAAGCACACAGUGCAGUCAAUCCAGGCUGCGCUGGCAUCUCCUGGGGAGCCUGAAACCAUGCAUGCCGAUGCCUGAGCUCUAGCCCAAGAGUUCUGGUUAACCGGCCUGGGGAGGGGCCUGGACAUCUGUAUUUUGUAAAAGCCAUCCAGGUGAAUCUUAUAGAGCUAAGGGACCCGAGGUUGAGGAGCACUAUGCCAGAGUAGUAAGAUGAACACCAGCUCAGCAGCAGCAGCGCAGCCGCCACCACAGCAACCCCGAGAGCACCCGAAACAGUAACAGAGGAGCCAGCCUUGGCUGGGAGAGUGCCAGGAAAGGAAGAUGCUCGCUUGGAUCCAGGCUCCACCUGGCACUGGCUGGGACCACAGACUCACUCUUCAGUCAAUCAGCAGGCUAGCACACAUUUGUUCAGUGCAUGCUGUGUGCUGCACGGGGCAGCGGACAGGGCAUGCGGAGUAACAGGCCCCAGCCUCCCCUGGACACGCAGAGUCAACAUGACAGAGGUGUGAACCGGAUACAGAGGGCACACAUUCCACCUGGGGUGUGACAGGAAAGACGAAAUAUUAUCGGGGAAGGAGCGGUGGAGGUUGUAGUGGCUGGAUAUCAUUUCAGAAGAACCUGUCAUUUUUCCAGGAGAAGAGACUGUAAGAGGAAAGUCCUGGAGGGAGCUGGGCAAGUUACAUUGUAUUUGAUUCCUGACUACUGUCUCUAAACCGAGGAUUCAAAUUGUUAGACUCAAUUCAUGACCUUGUUGGAAAUUUCCAGCCAACCCACUGCUCAAUCACCUUAACUAGGAGAAAAUAUUUUAUGAUAUAGUGGAAACAAAUGAUAACAGUGUUGAGAGGGACAAGCUUAACACAGAAUCCAGACUUCACACGUUCACGUGGGGGAGAUAGAAGUCGCGGAGUAGGCUGAUUUCUGAUGACAACCUGAUUUAAUUUGCAAUAUGACUGCAUCAGUGGCUGCUCAAAAAGCUGUUUCCAACAUUUUGCAUCAAUAUAGCAGCUCUGGGAUCCUGAAGAAAUUUGUAUUUGCUGUCUAAGACCGGAAGGGUGGAGGAAUACAGCUACCAGUUACUGAACAGCUGCUACCUUGAGAGGGACUGACCGACAUCGAGGACCGGGACUCCAGAACCCUGCUUUUGACCGGGAGACCUCCCAACUGGGAGCUCAAAUAAAUACGAGUGUGUUCGUUCUCAAUACUGGAACCCGUGAGCCAAGCUGCAUUUUACGUCUGCAUCCUCUACCCCCUGUUACAGGAGCCUGUUGCCUUUAACGAACCUGAGUCAGUCUAGCGAGGAGAACUGCUCGCCAGGGCUAAUUAUCAUCGCGGCGAUGUGAGUAAAUGAAGGAAAGUGAGUCAUGCACUAGGGCGGUUUUAUGACGGCUGUGAGGGAAGGCAAAUCAAAUGUACGCAUCUAAACUGCAGGGACCUGCGAGCGGCUGAAUCAUACGUCCGAGUGAAUAUGAGUUUUAUGGCGUGCGCCUGGAGAUCCUUAACAUAAUUGUCCUGCUGCUUUGGUCAGGCUGUUCUCUGCCCGGAGGCCCAGUGGUGACCUCUCCAAACACGUCAAGUGGAGCCCUGAACUCUUCAAAUGGAGGCCACCCAUCUUGGGAAGAAAGACAACAGAAAAGAAAGAAAGAGAGUGGCGAAGUCAUAUUUCCACUGCAGAGUUGCCUGAAGAGCUCGCUCCCUUCCUGCCCUGGCUCUGUUCCCGUCAGUGCAUCCCUUGUAGCGAGUCUUAGCUCAGCAGCCUUCACGGGGUGGCCUACAGGGCAAUGAAGUGACCCAAGAAAGAGGAUGGCAUUUC